CUAAUUGCCAAAAUUUGUCCCACAUUUUUUUUUAUUUUUCCCUUUACCAUUCUCUAAUUUUAAAAAAAAUUAUAUUGUUUUUCUAUAUUUUUCUCUUUAUUUCAUCACGAGGAUUUGUCCUAAAGCAGGAUUGUGAGAGGUGCACUACAACAAAAACGGUUUAUAGCGACACUUUUAAAUGUAGGUAUAUGUUAAAAAAGUGCUGCUAGCUAAAAUUACCGACACUUUUAAAAAGUGUUGCUAUAUGUGGGAUCGCUAGGCAUAUAGUGACAGUUAAAGAGUGUCGCUAUAACCUAAAAAAAUGCUGCUAAUUUACUAAUAUUUAUUUAAGCAUUUAGCAACCGCCGAAACUCUAUCUCGUUAGCUGCGGUGGCGGAGGAGGACGACAGGAAAGGCUCUUCGUCUAGAAUUUCAGUGGAUUAAGUGAAGAGAGAAGAAAAGAUGGUAAUUGAUUUUUCUUUUUUUUUUCUUUUCUGUUUGUAAUCGGGCCAAAUGGACUGGGUGUGGUUGGUUAAGUAGAGUAAUCUUUUAUUUUUGUUUGGAUUGGGCUUUAUAUUUAGGCAUUAGUAGAUGUUUUUUUAAGUUUUAGCAUAAAUGGGACACUUACUCAAAAGUGUCCCAAACAUGUGUUCCUAUAACCUAAUUAUGUUGUAGUGGUGAUACAUCUUACAAAUUAAUAUAUGUGCGGCUAAAGUGCACAUUAUGAACUAGUAAAGUACUAGAUUUCAUUGCCUUUUGAUUUAUGUCUAACUCUACUAUUUACACAAUUUGUAAAUAUGUUAUUUUGAUAGCCCACUUAAAGGCAGGAGCUGAGCUACUAUAGAAAAAAUAAUAGAUGAAUAGUAUUUAUUUGUGACACUUUUCAGGAGGUCACCUAUCGUAAGACUAUUCUAAUCCUAACACGCUUAACUCGUUUAACCUCUUGAGCCUAACCACCAUUCAAAAUGUUAUAGUCAAAUUAAGAAUUUUAGCCAUAUUAUAUCCUAUAUAUAGGAUUACCUGUAGGUUCACAUUUUUCUUCCCUGUAAGUCCUACCGUUCUCGUCGGGCUCAGACUCACAGGUAUCAGGCUAUGUGUGAUUCGUCUCGCUAGCUUUAACCAACCUUGUGGGGGGUGCCGCGCACUACCCACAACAGCCAACAGUAUGAGUGCUUCAUUUUUUCCGCUAUAUAAUUCUGGCUCAGUCGAGACUCAUCUCACACUUCCGACUAGUACUCCUAAGUUCGUAGUCAGGGUCAUAUAGUGGGUAGAGCGUGGUUUCCCAACUGACGACCGCCGUGAGUAGAGUCUGGCCCCCCACAAAGUUGGCUAAAGCUAGCGAGACGAGUCGCACAUUGUCCAAUUCUUAUGAGUGUGCUUUAGCCUGACAAGUACGUCAGGACUUAAAAAGGAGAGAUAUACGGCACUCUCAGAAUUUGAAAUAAUCAUAUAUUUUAGAUAUAAUAGGAUUAAUCCUCUUAAUCAGAUUAUAAUAUUUUGGACGAUGUCUAGAUGCAAAAGAUUAAGAGGGUUAAGCAUAUCAGAGCUAGAAUAAUUCUAAAAUUGAUGACUCCCUGAGAUGUGAGUUGU
rnacentral:lncRNA from 1 species